AAGGAGAAUAAGAUCCACAGAUAGGUUAUCCACGUCGUCACUUUAAAUCAACCAAUCAUGUUAUUUCUUUUUGACACGUCAUUCGAGCUUUGCGAUUUAAUAAAAACUGACGGAAAAUAAGUUGGGGCAUGAAGCCCAUUAUCAUUUAUCAGUGAGAGACGGAGACCUUUGCUCUUCCUCUUCUUCGUUACGUUUCACGAUUUGGACCUCGAACAAUCAAUACAUCCUCCACUUCAUCUCCCUUUGCUCUCAUUUAUGGAUUCGAUUUGUUUUUCUCAUCCUGAUUUUAUUUAUAAAACUCUCGAUCGGAGUUUUAUUUCGAUCAAACUUCGUUAUAUAUACUCAUUACUCAUUAGUACAUCGCAAUUGCCAUGAGUUCCAACGGAAAAUCCACGUUAUCUGGUGAUCCCCGCUCGGAGAACCAAAAAGGCGUUGAAGCUGACUCCUUUUCCGGUCAGAUCAAGCCCAUCGUCACACCCGAUGUCUCUUCCGGUCUCUCCAUCAGCGAACCCCCCCCAAAGAAAGCCAGCUGAAGCGUCGGUCUCCUCUUCCGGUCUGACCAAACCCAGCGGCGAUACCGGUGACUCGGUCGGCAUUCCUAAUUUGAAGAAAUUCAAUGGAUACAGAUGUAGAGAGAAGCUCCAACAACGCUACUACUCUAAUCUCAAGGUUUACGGUUCUUGGUCGACAUGCGCGGUGUUGAUAUUAAUGACUGAGGGAUUUUUUUUGUUUGAACACAAUUCCAAGGAUUCUUUACUUCUAGAAAGUAUUGCUGUUGGAUCUAUUAAUAAGAGUUUUUGGUCAAGUCUAUGUUGGUAGAAAGGUGGGCUCGGUCAUUGUUAAUGCUAUAUUUGGCCCGGGAGCUAUGGAGGUCUGUUGAUUUGUGUUUCCAAAUAUAGCAGCUUCGUUUGCGGUCGUAUGGCUGUCUUGAUGAGUCUUCUUCUGCCAGGUGGCUUUAAAGUUUGAGCAUACAAGCAGCAAAGGAUGUAACCAUGGGCCACCAUUUGAGUGGCAAGGUUACAAUGCACUUGGUGGCAGUCAUGGUGUACCACGAGUUCAUUUAAAAGGUCGGCAAGGUAAUUUUUACGUGAUGACGAGCUGCUCUGGCGGAAGAGUUGUUUGUGUUAAGACAAGUGGAUGAGUUUGAGGCGAAAGGAUUAAGUCCUCCACCAAGGAGAAAGAAUUGAUUUGACAUAAACGUUAUUUUAGGAUUUGGCUUCUCCUGAGGCUUCCGUUAGAGAAGCAGCUGCUAUCUCCUUGGUGAUGAGGCUGCAGGAGAUUCAGAAGCAGUACAAGAUGUUGCCUGAUAAGGAAUCUGUUGACGGAGGAUUGAUGCUCGAGGCUCAGAAGAAUGAUGGGUUGGAUAACUGUGCACCGCAUCUCAGAUACGCUCUAGGCAGGCUUAUUCGUGGUGUCUCUUCUUCCAGAGAGUGUGCAAGACGAGAAUUGUGUUGGGGUUGACAUUACCUGUUAGCUUAAUCUCUAGCAUUAAUUUGUGAAUUUCUACUGAAGCUCAUUUCUGAUUCAUCCAUGAAGGGACAAGAUGUAAAAGAAUGCUUACUGGGCAGGUUGUUUGCUUAUGGUGAUCUAGCAUGAUCUGAAGACUAGAGAAUAUACAUUGCCCAGUUUGGAAGUUGCAAGUUCACUGACAAUUUCAGUGGAUGUCAAAAUCUUGCCAACCAAAAGGUUCUUUGCAAAAAACAAUUUUGCAACAGACUGCACAAAUGUAAUUGUAAUUAUUAUAAUAUUCUCAAUUAUAUAUUAUAAGAUAAAAAAUAUUCUUCUUCAUUGUCUACAGAAGAGAGAAAAUUUAAGUAAUAUUAGUGUUUUAUUAUAA